rnacentral:rRNA from 1 species
GCUGACGGCCAUAUCAGCCUGGGUACGCCCGAUCUCGUCUGAUCUCGGAAGCUAAGCAGGGUCGGGCCUGGUUAGUACUUGGAUGGGAGACCGCCUGGGAAUACCAGGUGCUGUAAGCA